AUAAAGUUUUAUUUUAGCUUUUAAUUUUUUUUUAUAAAUAUUUUAUAUGUAUAUUUUGGUGUUAUUAUUUAUUUAUUUAAAUAAUAAAUAAAUAUAGUAUUAAUAAAAUUUCAGUAAUUAGUAUUAUAUCAUUAAUGAAAAUUAUAUAUAGUAAUUUAUAUAUAUAUAUAUAAGUAUUGACUAAAUUUGUGCCAGCAGUCGCGGUUAGACGAAUAAUGCAAAAAUAUUAUUUACUAAUUAAAGUUAAAUUGUUAAAUAUUUUAUAAUAUAAAUUUAUAAGGUGAAAUUUUUAUAUUUAUAGUUUAUAAAAUGAAUAAUUGAGGCUUAAAAAUUUAUAAAAUAAACUAGGAUUAGAUACCCUAUUAUUGUAAAUGUAUAUUAAUAAUUAGGGUAGUAGUAGUUAAGAUCUUGAAACUUAAAAAAUUUGGCGGUAUUUUAGUCUAUUCAGAGGAACCUGUUUUUUAAUUGAUAUUCCACGAUAAAUUUUACUUAAAUUUGUUAAUCAGUUUAUAUACCGUUGUUAUUAAAUAUUUUAAUAGAAUGAUAAUAUUUAUAAAAUUUUAUUUAAUAGUAAAUCAAAUCAAGGUGUAGCUAAUGUUUAAGUUAAAAUGGGUUACAAUAAAUUUAUUUAAAUGAAUAUAAAUAUGAAAAAUUUAUUGAAGGUGGAUUUGAUAGUAAAGUUGAUUAUUUUAUCAAUUUGAUUUUAGCUCUAAAAUAUGUACACAUCGCCCGUCGCUCUUAUUACUAAGGUAAGAUAAGUCGUAACAUAGUAGAUGUACUGGAAAGUGUAUCUAGAAUGCA
rnacentral:rRNA from 1 species